rnacentral:lncRNA from 1 species
AACUACGGCUUUGACUGGUCAAGAGACUGAUUUCAGUAACUUUCUCCUGAUAAGACCACCAACGGUGGACUGGUUCUGGCUGGUUUAUAGAGGCUGAGCACUGAGUGCCUUCAUGUCCUUGCCUCACCUUUUAACGUACAGGACCUAACUGUAAUGCAUUUAAAUGUUAAGUCUCCACCCCAAAGUGAACAUGGAACAUAACGUGCAUGUUUGCUUACUAUGCGUGCAUGCAUUCCCCCUUCAUGAUUAUUCAUAGCUCCUCCCAGAACCUGUUGAAUAUGUAUACCAGCCGACCCCUACAGCAAAAAAUUGCUUGCUUUUGGUUUUCAACUAGUGGUUGCAUUUCCCGCCUGCAGGUUGCGAUCUCCUUCUUAAGAAAUAAAGCUCUCCUUUCUAAAUUCAUCAAUUGUGUGAUUUUGCAGCUGACACACCUGUGGCCCUUCCAUCGCCAAGGUCAGCAUGAAGUGUGCUUUAUGACAAACACAUCUACAGAUGUUCCCUCAGAUCAUCCUUCCAACAACUCUGUCUUAUAAGCAGGCAGGGUGAUAAUUUUCUCAUUUUUUUUUUCUUGCUCUAUCACCCAGGCUGGAGUGCAAUAGCAGGAUCUUGGCUCACUGCAACCUCCGCCUCCUGGGUUCAAGUGAUUCUCCUGCCUCAGUCCCCCAAGUAGCUGGGAUUACAGGCGACCGCCACUACUCCUGGCUAAUGUUUUGGAUUUGUAGUAGAGACAGGGUUUCACCAUGUUGGGUAGGCUGGUCUUGAACUCCUGACCUUGUGAUCCACCUGCCUCAGCCUCCCAAAGUGCUGGGAUUACAGGUGGGAGCCACUGUGCCCAGCCAAUUUUCUCAUUUUACAGAUGAGAAAAUGAAGGCUUAGAGAAGAUAGGUAGCAGGCUGAAAGACAACAUUAUCUUUCUAAGCUCAACUCCAGUGAUCUUUGCUUACUUGUAACAUUCCCUUAUUUGCUCUUUGUGUUACCGUUCCCACACUCAAAUUAUUCUUUUAUUUUUCCCCUAGAGGAAGUGUCGCUCUGUCACCCAGGCCAGAGUGCAGUGGCAUGAUUUCAGCUCAGUGCAACCUCUGCCUCCAAGUUCAAGUGAUUCUCCUGCCUCAGCCUCCCAAGUAGCUGGAGAGUACAGGCACAUGCCACCAGACCUGGCUAAUUUUUGCAUUUUUUCGUGGAGACAGGGUUUCACCAUGUUGACCAGGCUGGUCUCGAACUCCUAACCUCAAGUGAUCUACCCACCUUGGCCUCCCAGAGUGCUGGGAUUAUAGGUGUGAGUCACUGUGCAUGGCCUCAAAUCACUCUUAAAGAUAUUAAAUAUAUCAAUCUGAUCUUGAUUGUCCCAAUAAUGCCAGAGGGGAGGAUGGGCAACUAUCACGAUCCUGGCUCCUACUUCUUAGGGUCUGUGUGACUAGUAAUAAAACUAUUUUCUCUUUUAAUCUUCCAUUUCCUCAUCUAUAAAACAGAGAUAAUACUACUACUGACCUCCUAGAAUUAUUGGGAGGGUUAAAUUAAAUAAUAUGUGUACAGUGCUUAGUGUUGUGGACAGCUCAGAGAAGAUGCUUGAGUCUAGCCAUCAUCAUGAAAACUCCAUAUCACCAACCACAUCAGGUCUUUCUCCUGUUCCUAUCUUUUUCCUGCUCCCUUCCUUAUUGAAUUUCCACAGUCUCCACCACAGAGGCAGUGCACUGAUGUGACUUGGGGGUUACUACAAGGAAAAUGGAAGAAAAUAAACGUUUACUGUAUCUCAACACUUGUAAGUUAAAAAAAAAAAAAAAA